GGAGCGUUCUGUAAGCCUGCGAAGGUGUGCUGUGAGGCAUGCUGGAGGUAUCAGAAGUGCGAAUGCUGACAUAAGUAACGAUAAAGCGGGUGAAAAGCCCGCUCGCCGGAAGACCAAGGGUUCCUGUCCAACGUUAAUCGGGGCAGGGUGAGUCGACCCCUAAGGCGAGGCCGAAAGGCGUAGUCGAUGGGAAACAGGUUAAUAUUCCUGUACUUGGUGUUACUGCGAAGGGGGGACGGAGAAGGCUAUGUUGGCCGGGCGACGGUUGUCCCGGUUUAAGCGUGUAG
rnacentral:rRNA from 1 species